GCAUCCGUAGCUCAGCUGGAUAGAGUACUCGGCUUCGAACCGAGCGGUCGGAGGUUCGAAUCCUCCCGGAUGCACCA
rnacentral:tRNA from 2 species